CAGUAGCCGCGGGAAUACGGAGGGUGCAAGCGUUAAUCGGAAUUACUGGGCGUAAAGCGUGCGUAGGCGGCUAAUUGAGUCGGAUGUGAAAUCCCCGAGCUUAACUUGGGAAUUGCAUUCGAUACUGGUUAGCUAGAGUGUGGGAGAGGAUGGUAGAAUUCCAGGUGUAGCGGUGAAAUGCGUAGAGAUCUGGAGGAAUACCGAUGGCGAAGGCAGCCAUCUGGCCUAACACUGACGCUGAGGUACGAAAGCAUGGGGAGCAAACAGGAUUAGAUACCCCUGUAGUCCCUGUCUCCUUAUA
rnacentral:rRNA from 1 species